rnacentral:rRNA from 1 species
CUACAGGCUUAACACAUGCAAGUCGAGGGGCAGCAUGGUCUUAGCUUGCUAAGGCCGAUGGCGACCGGCGCACGGGUGAGUAACACGUAUCCAACCUGCCGUCUACUCUUGGACAGCCUUCUGAAAGGAAGAUUAAUACAAGAUGGCAUCAUGAGUCCGCAUGUUCACAUGAUUAAAGGUAUUCCGGUAGACGAUGGGGAUGCGUUCCAUUAGAUAGUAGGCGGGGUAACGGCCCACCUAGUCUUCGAUGGAUAGGGGUUCUGAGAGGAAGGUCCCCCACAUUGGAACUGAGACACGGUCCAAACUCCUACGGGAGGCAGCAGUGAGGAAUAUUGGUCAAUGGGCGAGAGCCUGAACCAGCCAAGUAGCGUGAAGGAUGACUGCCCUAUGGGUUGUAAACUUCUUUUAUAAAGGAAUAAAGUCGGGUAUGCAUACCCGUUUGCAUGUACUUUAUGAAUAAGGAUCGGCUAACUCCGUGCCAGCAGCCGCGGUAAUACGGAGGAUCCGAGCGUUAUCCGGAUUUAUUGGGUUUAAAGGGAGCGUAGAUGGAUGUUUAAGUCAGUUGUGAAAGUUUGCGGCUCAACCGUAAAAUUGCAGUUGAUACUGGAUAUCUUGAGUGCAGUUGAGGCAGGCGGAAUUCGUGGUGUAGCGGUGAAAUGCUUAGAUAUCACGAAGAACUCCGAUUGCGAAGGCAGCCUGCUAAGCUGCAACUGACAUUGAGGCUCGAAAGUGUGGGUAUCAAACAGGAUUAGAUACCCUGGUAGUCCACACGGUAAACGAUGAAUACUCGCUGUUUGCGAUAUACAGCAAGCGGCCAAGCGAAAGCGUUAAGUAUUCCACCUGGGGAGUACGCCGGCAACGGUGAAACUCAAAGGAAUUGACGGGGGCCCGCACAAGCGGAGGAACAUGUGGUUUAAUUCGAUGAUACGCGAGGAACCUUACCCGGGCUUAAAUUGCAGAUGAAUUACGGUGAAAGCCGUAAGCCGCAAGGCAUCUGUGAAGGUGCUGCAUGGUUGUCGUCAGCUCGUGCCGUGAGGUGUCGGCUUAAGUGCCAUAACGAGCGCAACCCUUGUUGUCAGUUACUAACAGGUUCCGCUGAGGACUCUGACAAGACUGCCAUCGUAAGAUGUGAGGAAGGUGGGGAUGACGUCAAAUCAGCACGGCCCUUACGUCCGGGGCUACACACGUGUUACAAUGGGGGGUACAGAGGGCCGCUACCACGCGAGUGGAUGCCAAUCCCAAAAACCUCUCUCAGUUCGGACUGGAGUCUGCAACCCGACUCCACGAAGCUGGAUUCGCUAGUAAUCGCGCAUCAGCCACGGCGCGGUGAAUACGUUCCCGGGCCUUGUACACACCGCCCGUCAAGCCAUGGGAGCCGGGGGUACCUGAAGUGCGUAACCGCGAGGAGCGCCCUAGGGUAAAACUGGUGACUGGGGCUAAGUCAUAACAAGGUAACCGUAA